AGAGUUUGAUCCUGGCUCAGGAACAACGCUGGCGGCGUGCCUAAUGCAUGCAAGUCGAACGGGAUCUACUAUGGUAGACGACCGUGGCGGACGGGUGAGGAGCGCGUGGGGAACCCACCCCGGUGCGGGGGAUAACCGCGGGAAACCGCGGGUAAGACCGCAUGAGCUUCGCGGUUCAGUAGGGAUAGUGAAGCAAAGAGCAGAGAUGCUCGUGCCGGGCGGGCCCUGCGGCCUAUCAGCCAGUUGGUGGGGUAGUGGCCCACCAAAGCGAUGACGGGUCGCUGGUCUGAGAGGACGAUCAGCCACACGGGGACUGAGACACGGCCCCGACUCCUACGGGAGGCAGCAGCAAGGGAUAUUCCGCAAUGGGCGCAAGCCUGACGGAGCGACGCCGCGUGGAGGAGGACACUUUUCGGAGCGUAAACUCCUUUUCGAGGGGACGAAAGACAUGACGGUACCCUCGGAAUAAGCACCGGCUAACUACGUGCCAGCAGCCGCGGUAACACGUAGGGUGCGAGCGUUGUCCGGAGUUACUGGGCGUAAAGGGCGUGUAGGCGGUGCAGUUUGUCCGUGGUGAAAGCCCCCGGCUCAACCGGGGAGGGUCCACGGAGACGGCUGCACUGGAGCUCGCGAGAGGUGGGUGGAAUUCCCGGUGUAGUGGUGAAAUGCGUAGAGAUCGGGAGGAACACCGGUGGCGAAGGCGGCCCACUGGCGCGAUGCUGACGCUGAGGCGCGAAGGCGCGGGGAGCGAACGGGAUUAGAUACCCCGGUAGUCCGCGCAGUAAACGAUGUGGACGAGGUGUGGGGGGAGUUGACCCCCUCCGUGCCGGCGCAAACGCAGUAAGUCCACCGCCUGGGGAGUACGGCCGCAAGGCUAAAACUUAAAGGAAUUGACGG
rnacentral:rRNA from 1 species